CAACAUGGCCAAUUCCUUUCAU
rnacentral:miRNA from 1 species